UACGUAUGGUGCAAGCGUUAUCCGGAUUUACUGGGUGUAAAGGGAGCGUAGGCGGCGCGUUAAGUCUGAUGUGAAAACCCGAGGCUCAACCACGGGAGUGCAUUGGUAACUGGCGUGCUGGAGUGCCGGAGAGGUAAGCGGAAUUCCUAGUGUAGCGGUGAAAUGCGUAGAUAUUAGGAGGAACACCAGUGGCGAAGGCGGCUUACUGGACGGCAACUGACGCUGAGGCUCGAAAGCGUGGGGAGCAAACAGG
rnacentral:rRNA from 1 species